rnacentral:rRNA from 1 species
UACGUAGGGAGCGAGCGUUGUCCGGAUUUAUUGGGCGUAAAGAGCUCGUAGGCGGUUUGGUAAGUCGGGUGUGAAAGCUCCGGGCUCAACUCGGAGAGGUCACUCGAUACUGCCAUGACUGGAGUCCGGUAGGGGGGUGUGGAAUUCCCAGUGUAGCGGUGAAAUGCGCAGAUAUUGGGAGGAACACCAAUGGCGAAGGCAGCACCCUGGCCGGUACGUGACGCUGAGGUGCGAAAGCGUGGGGAGCAAACAGGG